CCUACGGGGGGCAGCAGUAGGGAAUCUUUCACAAUGGGCGAAAGCCUGAUGGAGCAACGCCGCGUGCAGGAUGAAGGCCUUCGGGUUGUAAACUGCUUUUAUAAGCGAGAAAUAUGACGGUAACUUAUGAAUAAGGAUCGGCUAAAUACGUGCCAGCAGCCGCGGUCAUACGUAGGAUCCGAGAAUUAUCCGGAGUGACUGGGUGUAAAGAGUUGCGUAGGUGGGAUAAUAAGUAGCUAGUGAAAUCUGGUGGCUCAACCAUUCAGACUAUUAGCUAAACUGUUAAGCUCGAGACCGUUAGGGGUAACUGGAAUUUCUAGUGUAGGAGUGAAAUGCGUAGAUAUUAGAAGGAACACCAAUAGCGUAGGCAGGUUACUGGGACGGUUCUGACACUGAGGCACGAAAGCGUAGGGAGCAAACAGGAUUAGAUACCCCGGUAGUC
rnacentral:rRNA from 1 species